rnacentral:rRNA from 1 species
AGAGUUUGAUCCUGGCUCAGGACGAACGCUGGCGGCGUGCCUAAUACAUGCAAGUCGAGCGGAUUUAUCCUUCGGGAUAAGUUAGCGGCGGACGGGUGAGUAACACGUAGGCAACCUGCCUAUAAGACUGGGAUAACUAUCGGAAACGAUAGCUAGGACCGGAUAACUGAUUUUCUCGCAUGAGAAAAUUAUGAAACACGGAGCAAUCUGUGGCUUAUAGAUGGGCCUGCGGCGCAUUAGCUAGUUGGUAGGGUAACGGCCUACCAAGGCGACGAUGCGUAGCCGACCUGAGAGGGUGAACGGCCACACUGGGACUGAGACACGGCCCAGACUCCUACGGGAGGCAGCAGUAGGGAAUCUUCCGCAAUGGACGCAAGUCUGGCGGAGCAACGCCGCGUGAGUGAUGAAGGUUCUCGGAUCGAAAAGCUCUGUUGCCCUAGACGAACAGCAAGAGGAGUAACUGCCUUUUGUGUGACGGUAUAGGAGAAGAAAGCCCCGGCUAACUACGUGCCAGCAGCCGCGGUAAUACGUAGGGGGCAAGCGUUGUCCGGAAUUAUUGGGCGUAAAGCGCGCGCAGGCGGUCAAUUAAGUUGGGUGUUUAAGCCCGGGGCUCAACCCCGGUUCGCAUCCAAAACUGGUCGACUUGAGUGUAGGAGAGGAAAGUGGAAUUCCACGUGUAGCGGUGAAAUGCGUAGAGAUGUGGAGGAACACCAGUGGCGAAGGCGACUUUCUGGCCUAUAACUGACGCUGAGGCGCGAAAGCGCGGGGAGCAAACAGGAUUAAAUACCCUGGUAGUCCACGCCGUAAAC